AUUGAACGCUGGCGGCAGGCCUAACACAUGCAAGUCGAGCGAGCGGCGGAAGGGGGAGGAAUGUAUGGGGACUGCCCGAUAGAGGGGGAUAAAUACUGGGAACGGUAGCUACUACCGCAUACUAUCGGGUAACCCAUAUGGGAUUGUCUAGUUGGUGAGGUAAUGGCUCACCAAGGCGACGCUCCCUAGCUGUUCUGAGAGGAUGAUCAGCCACACUGGGACUGAGACACGGCCCAGACUCCUACGGAGGCAGCAGUGGGGAAUAUUGCACAAUGGGCGCAAGCCUGAUGCAGCCAUGCCGCGUGUAUGAAGAAGGCCCUAGGGUUGUAAAGUACUUUCAGUCGGGAGGCGUUACCGACAGAAGAAGCACCGGCUAACUCCGUGCCAGCAGCCGCGGUAAUAC
rnacentral:rRNA from 1 species